rnacentral:lncRNA from 1 species
AAAGAAACAGUUCCGCAAUGCUAGGACAAUCCCAAAAUAUUUGUAUUUUGUCUGCUCACAGGUCAGCAGGCAUAAUAUAAUAUCCGUGCUGUCACCCAGCCAAUUCUCACCCGCCACCAGUUUCUUGAAGCCACAGCUGUGACGGUGUUCCCACUACUGUUACCAAUCACCGUCACGCAUGACACAGCACUUAUUUCUUAAGUGUUACGCGCUUCAUCAUUCAUGAAUCCGACAGGUGUUAUGUUUAUAUUUUAUUUACUUAAUUAGACAGCAAUAAUAUGAUAAUUGUUAUAAAUUUAUAAUUUUCUAAAAAAAUAUAAAUAUAAAUUUACAAUUUUAUCCUUUAAAUUUAUGGCUCAGAGUCCGAAUCCAGAGCAGUCAAAAUUAUGAAUGAGUUGGACUUUUUUAUUCUCAUCAUCUAAUUAUUUAAACUUCAUUUUCAUGCAUACCAAAUUUUUUCUCAUAUCUCUAUUUUCAUCAACUAACAAAUAUAUCUAUAUCUCUCCUUUUAUUUAUCAUAAAUAUUAAUUAAAUAAUUUUUCAAAAAAUAUAAAAAUCAUAAGAAAGAAAACAUAAUAUUAUAAAUUAUUCAAUGUUAAUAGGAUACAAAUAUUUUUUUUUCCAAUGUCUAUAAAAAAUUAUUAUUAAAUAAAUAUGAGAUCAAAGGAUUAAAUAACAAUUGGAUGAGAUCAGAUAAUUAUAGGAAAGAAUAAAAAUAAUUAAAUAUACUAUUUUAUUAAAUAUUUGGAACUUGGUUUUUCUAUUUUUAUUACAUGAUAUAUAUAUAUAUAUAUAUAUUGUCUAAAUAUCGGAUUAUUCAUAUAUUACACCAACAAAUAUUAACCACCAAAUAUUACUUGAAAAAUCUACUAUUUAAUGAAUUUAUAAAAAAAUGAUCUCACUCCAAUAAAUUAGUAACAUAUAAUUACAUUAAAUACUUUAUUAUAUUUUGACUUGAAUAAACGUGCUAACAAAUAGCUAAAAAAUAAGUACUAAUAAAACAUUAGAUUAUCAUACAAAUAAAUGGAGUGCAUAUAUUAAAUUAUUAUUAUUACUUAAAUAUUCAAUCUUUAAACAUGUAUUUUUAUGGAACCAUGACAUGUGACUAUUGAAUGAUUUGAUUAUAUUAGAUAGCGAAUAAAAAGAUAUACAAUAAAUCAAGUAAUAUCUUAUAAAUUUGGAUGAUAUCUUAUAAAUUUCGUAAUUAUGUGAAAAAUCAGUUUAUUAAAAACAGGUGUCAGAUACGGUCCAUAAACAAGCCCAUAAACUAAAUAAUCCAUUAUUAACACUAUAAAUAAACAUUAUUAUACAAGAGUAAGGUAUGCUUUUAUUAAUCACUCGCUCACUUUUAUUCAGAGCACCAAGAAAAUGAAUACAAGAAGAGAGAAGGAGGAGCUACUGAGGGACCAAAAACAAUUAUUCAAGUUGGUAAAAGG